rnacentral:misc_RNA from 1 species
GAUGAAGAACGUAGCGAAAUGCGAUAAGUAGUGUGAAUUGCAGAAUUCAGUGAAUCAUCGAAUCUUUGAACGCACAUUGCGCCUCCUGGUAUUCCGGGAGGCAUGCCUGUUCGAGCGUCAUCAAAAACCUCAACCCAUGAUUUAUUGUGAGUUGGUUCUGCAUUGGACUCCUUGUGGGUCCUUUGCGAAAUCCAAUGGCGAAGAGCCACGCAACCAAAGCGUAGUAUAACUAUUUCGUUAUGGAAGCGUGGGUGACUCUGCCGUAACCACCAAUUUCUUAGUUUUUGACCUCGGAUCAGGUAGGGAUACCCGCUGAACUUAAGCAUAUCAAUAAGCGGAGGA